rnacentral:rRNA from 2 species
CCUACAAGUCGAGCAGGGACGAAAGUCGGGCUUAGUGAUCCGGUGGUUCCGCAUGGAAGGGCCAUCGCUCAACGGAUAAAAGCUACCCCGGGGAUAACAGGCUUAUCUCCCCCAAGAGUCCACAUCGACGGGGAGGUUUGGCACCUCGAUGUCGGCUCAUCGCAUCCUGGGGCUGUAGUCGGUCCCAAGGGUUGGGCUGUUCGCCCAUUAAAGCGGUACGCGAGCUGGGUUCAGAACGUCGUGAGACAGUUCGGUCCCUAUCCGUCGUGGGCGUAGGAAAUUUGAGAGGAGCUGUCCUUAGUACGAGAGGACCGGGAUGGACACACCGCUGGUGUACCAGUUGUCUUGCCAAAGGCAUCGCUGGGUAGCUAUGUGUGGACGGGAUAAGUGCUGAAAGCAUCUAAGCAUGAAGCCCCCCUCAAGAUGAGAUUUCCCAUAGCGCAAGCUAGUAAGAUCCCUGAAAGAUGAUCAGGUUGAUAGGUCAGAGGUGGAAGCGUGGCGACAUGUGUAGCUGACUGAUACUAAUCGAUCGAGGACUUAACCAAAUU